GGGAAACUGCCUGAUGGAGGGGGAUAACUACUGGAAACGGUAGCUAAUACCGCAUAACCUCGCAAGAGCAAAGAGGGGGACCUUCGGGCCUCUCGCCAUCAGAUGUGCCCAGAUGGGAUUAGCUAGUAGGUGAGGUAAUGGCUCACCUAGGCGACGAUCCCUAGCUGGUCUGAGAGGAUGACCAGCCACACUGGAACUGAGACACGGUCCAGACUCCUACGGGAGGCAGCAGUGGGGAAUAUUGCACAAUGGGCGCAAGCCUGAUGCAGCCAUGCCGCGUGUGUGAAGAAGGCCUUCGGGUUGUAAAGCACUUUCAGCGAGGAGGAAGGCGGUAAGGUUAAUAACCUUAUCGAUUGACGUUACUCGCAGAAGAAGCACCGGCUAACUCCGUGCCAGCAGCCGCGGUAAUACGGAGGGUGCAAGCGUUAAUCGGAAUGACUGGGCGUAAAGCGCACGCAGGCGGUCUGUUAAGUUGGAUGUGAAAUCCCCGGGCUUAACCUGGGAACUGCAUUCAAAACUGACAGGCUAGAGUCUUGUAGAGGGGGGUAGAAUUCCAGGU
rnacentral:rRNA from 1 species